UACGGAGGGGGCCAGCGUUGUUCGGAAUCAUUGGGCGUAAAGGGCGCGUAGGCGGCCGACCAAGUCGGAGGUGAAAUCCCUCGGCUCAACUGAGGAACUGCCUCCGAUACUGUUCGGCUUGAGUCCCGGAGAGGGUAGUGGAAUUCCGAGUGUAGCGGUGAAAUGCGCAGAUAUCCGGAGGAACACCGGUGGCGAAGGCGGCUUCCUGGACCGACACUGACGCUGAGGCGCGAAAGCUAGGGGAGCAAACGGG
rnacentral:rRNA from 1 species